rnacentral:rRNA from 1 species
GCUUGUCUCAAAGAUUAAGCCAUGCAUGUCUCAGUAUAAGCUUGUGCAUAGUGAAACUGCGAACGGCUCAUUAUAACAGUUAUAAUUUGUUUGGUGUUCAAGUUUACAUGGGUAACUGUGGCAAUUCUAGAGCUAAUACAUGCUAAGACCGUAAGGUUGUAUUUAUUAGAUAUACCGAGUAGGUGAAUCAUAAUAACUUCGCAAAUCGCAGUAAUACUGCGAUAAAUCAUUCAAGUUUCUGCCCUAUCAUGCUCUCGAUGGUAGUGUAUUGGACUACCAUGGCUCUCACGGGUAACGGGGAAUUAGGGUUCGAUUCCGGAGAAGGAGCCUGAGAAACGGCUACUACAUCUAAGGAAGGCAGCAGG